rnacentral:rRNA from 1 species
UACGUAGGGUGCAAGCGUUGUCCGGAAUUAUUGGGCGUAAAGGGCUCGUAGGCGGUCUGUUGCGUCGGGAGUGAAAACUCAGGGCUUAACCCUGAGCCUGCUUCCGAUACGGGCAGACUAGAGGUAUGCAGGGGGAGAACGGAAUUCCUGGUGUAGCGGUGAAAUGCGCAGAUAUCAGGAGGAACACCGGUGGCGAAGGCGGUUCUCUGGGCAUUACCUGACGCUGAGGAGCGAAAGUGUGGGGAGCGAACAGG